GGAGUUAUAUUCAAAAAUGAUAUUUAACUUGCACUUAAAAGGUGCUUCUUUUAAGAAGCUAACUUCA
rnacentral:tRNA from 1 species